rnacentral:rRNA from 1 species
GAUGAACGCUAGCGACAGGCUUAACACAUGCAAGUCGAGGGGCAGCGUGGUGUGGCAACACACUGACGGCGACCGGCGCACGGGUGAGUAACACGUAUGCGACCUGCCCCCUACAGGGGUAUAACCCGUAGAAAUGCGGACUAAUCCCCCAUAGUCCUGGGUGCUGCAUGGCAUUCAGGGGAAAGGUCAGCCGGUAGGGGAUGGGCAUGCGGCGCAUUAGCUAGUUGGCGGGGCAACGGCCCACCAAGGCGACGAUGCGUAGGGGUUCUGAGAGGAAGGUCCCCCCACACUGGUACUGAGACACGGACCAGACUCCUACGGGAGGCAGCAGUGAGGAAUAUUGGUCAAUGGGCGGAAGCCUGAACCAGCCAAGUCGCGUGAGGGAAGACGGUCCUAUGGAUUGUAAACCUCUUUUGCCGGGGAGCAAGCCGGGUCUGCGGACCCGCGUUGAGAGUACCCGGAGAAAAAGCAUCGGCUAACUCCGUG